GACGUAGGAGGCGAGCGUUGUCCGGAAUCAUUGGGCGUAAAGCGCGUGUAGGCGGCUCGGUAAGUCUGCUGUGAAAGUCCAGGGCUCAACCCUGGGAUGCCGGUGGAUACUGUCGAGCUCGAGUCCGGAAGAGGCGAGUGGAAUUCCUGGUGUAGCGGUGAAAUGCGCAGAUAUCAGGAAGAACACCCGUGGCUAAGGCGGUUCUCUAGUACGGUACUGACGCUGAGACGCGAAAGCGUGGGGAGCGAACAGG
rnacentral:rRNA from 1 species